rnacentral:lncRNA from 1 species
GUUUCUAAGAGUGCGUGUAAGGAGGGGUUGCUCAAAUGCAGGAUGUUAUAUAAGCUACACAUGCUCUCCAAAAAUACUUCAAUAAAGAUCAAUAAAACAAUAAUCAGCCCUGGUAAGAAUAAAGUCUGUCUCUAUAAUUUUUGUUUCAUUUUCGUCACGGUUGUAGUUGUCUCUGUUCAUAAACGUCAGAGUAAUCUGUGCUCAUGAUGAAGUUUCUUUCUUACGACAGAAGAAUCUUUGAAGCCGUAAAUAUGAACUGUGCUGUUAAUAUUGCUGAUUAGUCUUUUGAUUGAUAUUUUGACUGAAAUGUUGGGUCUACGCCACGGUGUGAGUCACUCCUCUUAAACAUUUCUACAUUGCGAGACAUAUGAAGUGCAUUUGCAUGUAAAGUUUUGAUUUUUUUUUUUUUUUUUAAAAGCCUUUCUCGUUGCAAUUGCUGAAUUCAUUUUCAAAAGAGUUGCAAGGUCUUGAGAACAAAAGUCGACGUCCAUUGAAGAUCAUCAUCGAAAUAACUUGCGAACAGCUUUUCAUGAGCGUAUGAAAAACUUGCUGCCCUUUUCCCAACGAUGUUUAACGUAAUAAUAAUAUUGCUACAAUACUUUGGAGGUGAAAUACGUUUUUUUUCUUACUUUUGAUGAAAAUUAGUAAAUUUUCUCUCAAAAUUAUUCUUAUUAAAAUAAUGGAAUCAAUUCGUUCAGUUAUCAAGAAAUUAGACUUUAUUUGAGCAUUUGAUCAAAACAAAAUCAUUCAUCUUUUUCAACGAUGACGUACGGAGAUAACUUUCGACGUGUGAGGGUUAUUUUCACCAGUAGUAGCUUCCGUAGGCUGCUGGGGCGUAACCGUAGCCGUAAGCUCCGUAGGCGGCCGGAGCGUAGGCGUAAGGGUAUCAGAGGACGUUUGUCAAUUCUUUUCACCAGUAGUAGCUUCCGUAGGCCGCUGGGGCGUAACCGUAGCCGUAAGCUCCGUAGGCGGCCGGGGCGUAGGCAACUACGGCGGCCGGAGCGGGGGAGAGGGCGGUGGCGGCGUAGGCGUGAGGGUAGGCGGCCGGGGCGUAGGCAACUGCGGCUCCCGGGUAGUCGGCGAAGAAGACGGCGCGCUUGGCGCGGGGCAGAGGAGAGGCGGAGACAGCCGCGAAAGCCAAUACGAGGGCGACCUGGGAAAUAA